rnacentral:rRNA from 1 species
UACGUAGGGUCCGAGCGUUGUCCGGAAUUACUGGGCGUAAAGAGCUCGUAGGUGGUUUGUCGCGUUGUUCGUGAAAACUCACAGCUCAACUGUGGGCGUGCGGGCGAUACGGGCAGACUUGAGUACUGCAGGGGAGACUGGAAUUCCUGGUGUAGCGGUGGAAUGCGCAGAUAUCAGGAGGAACACCGGUGGCGAAGGCGGGUCUCUGGGCAGUAACUGACGCUGAGGAGCGAAGGCCAGGGGAGCAAACGGG